UUGGAGGGCAAGUCUGGUGCCAGCAGCCGCGGUAAUUCCAGCUCCAAUAGCGUAUAUCAAAGUUGUUGCAGUUAAAAAGCUCGUAGUUGAAUUUCGGGAUCAAUUUAUUGGUCGUGCUAUUGUACGUACUGGUAUUAUUGAUUCCUACCUUCUGACGAACCAUGAUGUCAUUAAUUUGGUGUCAUGGGGAAUCAGGACUGUUACUUUGAAAAAAUUAGAGUGUUUAAAGCAGGCUCACGCUUGAAUACAUUAGCAUGGAAUAACGAAAUAGGACGUUUGAUUCUAUUUUGUUGGUUUCUAGGAUCGACGUAAUGAUUAAUAGGGAUAGUUGGGGGCAUUAGUAUUCAAUUGUCAGAGGUGAAAUUCUUGGAUUUAUUGAAGACUAGCUACUGCGAAAGCAUUUGCCAAGGAUGUUUUCAUUAAUCAAGAACGAAAGUUAGGGGAUCGAAGACGAUCAGAUACCGUCGUAGUCUUAACCAUAAACUAUGCCGACUAGGGAUCGGAUGAUGUUAAUUUUUUAAUGACUCAUUCGGCGCCUUACGGGAAAC
rnacentral:rRNA from 1 species